GUCUAUGGCCAUACCACCUCAAAUGUGCCCAAUCUUGUCUGCUCUUGGAAGCUAAGCAGGGCCGGGCCUGGUUAGUGCUUGGAUGGGAGAUCUAAAAAUCAAAACAGUUGAACUCAGACA
ensembl:rRNA 5S_rRNA 5S ribosomal RNA